GGUGUCUUCAUACUCAGAAACUUUUUUUUUCAUAGCUUUUUAUUUACAAGUUAUAUGUAUGGGUAUUUUACAGCAUUGACAUUUGCCAAACCUUUUGUUCCAAUUUUUCCCUUCCUUCCCCCCAACCCCUCCCCUAGAUGGCAGGAUGACCAGUAGAUGUUAAAUAUAUUAAAGUAUGAAUUAGAUACACAAUAAGUAUACAUGACCAAACCAUUAUUUUGCUGUACAGAAAGAAUUGGACUCUGAAAUAUUGUAUAAUUAGCCUGUGAAGAAAAUCCAAAAUUCAGGCAGGCAGAAUAUAGGGAUUAGGAAUUCAAUGUAAUGGUUCUUAGUCAUCUCCCAGAGUUCUUUUGUUGGGCGUAGCUGGUUCAGUUCAUUACUGCUCCAUUGGAACUGAUUUGGUUCAUCUCAUUGCUGAAGAUGGCCAGGUCCAUCAGAAUUGAUCAUCAUAUAGUAUUGUUGUUGAAGUAUGUAAGGAUCUCCUGGCCCUGCUCAUUUCACUCAGCAUCAGUUCAUGUAAAUCUCUCCAGGCCUUUCUGAAAUCAUCCUGUUGGUCAUUUCUUACUGAACAAUAAUAUUCCAUAAUAUUCAUAUACCACAAUUUAUUCAGCCAUUCUCCAAUUGAUGGGCAUCUAUUCAGUUUCCAGUUUCUGGUCACUACAAAGAGGGCUACCACAAACAUUCGUGCACAUACAGAUUCUUUUCCCUUCUUUAUGAUCUCUUUGGGAUAUAAUCCCAGUAGUAACACUGCUGGAUCAAAGGGUAUGCACAGUUUGAUAACUUUUUGAGCAUAGUUCCAAAUUGCUCUCCAGAAUGGUUGGAUGUAUUCACAGUUCCACCAACAAUGUAUUAGUAUCCCUGUUUUCCCACAUCCCUUCCAACAUUCUGCAUUAUCUUUCCCUAUCAUUCUAGCCAGUCUGACAGGUAUGUAGUGGUAUCUCAGAGUUGUCUUAAUUUGCAUUUCUCUGAUUGAUAAUGACUUGGAGCAUCUUUUUAUAUGGCUAGAAAUAGUUUCAAUUUCUUCGUCAGAAACUUUUUAAAGGUAAGUAAAG
rnacentral:lncRNA from 1 species